rnacentral:rRNA from 1 species
GGUUAAGCGACUAAGCGUACACGGUGGAUGCCCUAGCAGUCAGAGGCGAUGAAGGACGUGCUAAUCUGCGAAAAGCGUCGGUAAGGUGAUAUGAACCGUUACAGCCGGCGAUGUCCGAAUGGGGAAACCCAGUGCAAUUCGUUGCACUAUCGUUAACUGAAUACAUAGGUUAACGAGGCGAACCGGGGGAACUGAAACAUCUAAGUACCCCGAGGAAAAGAAAUCAACCGAGAUUCCCCCAGUAGCGGCGAGCGAACGGGGAGCAGCCCAGAGUCUGAAUCAGCUUGUGUGUUAGUGGAACGGUCUGGAAAGUCCGACGGUACAGGGUGAUAGUCCCGUACACCAAAAUGCACAGGCUGUGAACUCGAAGAGUAGGGCGGGACACGUGGUAUCCUGUCUGAAUAUGGGGGGACCAUCCUCCAAGGCUAAAUACUCCUGACUGACCGAUAGUGAACCAGUACCGUGAGGGAAAGGCGAAAAGAACCCCGGCGAGGGGAGUGAAAAAGAACCUGAAACCGUGUACGUACAAGCAGUGGGAGCACCUUCGGGUGUGACUGCGUACCUUUUGUAUAAUGGGUCAGCGACUUAUAUUCUGUAGCAAGGUUAACCGUAUAGGGGAGCCGCAGGGAAACCGAGUCUUAACUGGGCGUUAAGUUGCAGGGUAUAGACCCGAAACCCGGUGAUCUAGCCAUGGGCAGGUUGAAGGUUGGGUAACACUAACUGGAGGACCGAACCGACUAAUGUUGAAAAAUUAGCGGAUGACUUGUGGCUGGGGGUGAAAGGCCAAUCAAACCGGGAGAUAGCUGGUUCUCCCCGAAAGCUAUUUAGGUAGCGCCUCGUGAACUCAUCUUCGGGGGUAGAGCACUGUUUCGGCUAGGGGGUCAUCCCGACUUACCAACCCGAUGCAAACUACGAAUACCGAAGAAUGUUAUCACGGGAGACACACGGCGGGUGCUAACGUCCGUCGUGAAGAGGGAAACAACCCAGACCGCCAGCUAAGGUCCCAAAGUCAUGGUUAAGUGGGAAACGAUGUGGGAAGGCACAGACAGCCAGGAUGUUGGCUUAGAAGCAGCCAUCAUUUAAAGAAAGCGUAAUAGCUCACUGGUCGAGUCGGCCUGCGCGGAAGAUGUAACGGGGCUAAACCAUGCACCGAAGCUGCGGCAGCGACACUAUGUGUUGUUGGGUAGGGGAGCGUUCUGUAAGCCUGCGAAGGUGACCUGUGAGGGUUGCUGGAGGUAUCAGAAGUGCGAAUGCUGACAUAAGUAACGAUAAAGCGGGUGAAAAGCCCGCUCGCCGGAAGACCAAGGGUUCCUGUCCAACGUUAAUCGGGGCAGGGUGAGUCGACCCCUAAGGCGAGGCCGAAAGGCGUAGUCGAUGGGAAACAGGUUAAUAUUCCUGUACUUGGUGUUACUGCGAAGGGGGGACGGAGAAGGCUAUGUUAGCCGGGCGACGGUUGUCCCGGUUUAAGCAUGUAGGCUGGUUGUCCAGGCAAAUCCGGAUAAUCAAGGCUGAGGUGUGAUGACGAGGCACUACGGUGCUGAAGUAACAAAUGCCCUGCUUCCAGGAAAAGCCUCUAAGCAUCAGGUAACAUUAAAUCGUACCCCAAACCGACACAGGUGGUCAGGUAGAGAAUACCAAGGCGCUUGAGAGAACUCGGGUGAAGGAACUAGGCAAAAUGGUGCCGUAACUUCGGGAGAAGGCACGCUGGUGUGUAGGUGAAGUCCCUGCGGAUGGAGCUGAGACCAGUCGAAGAUACCAGCUGGCUGCAACUGUUUAUUAAAAACACAGCACUGUGCAAACACGAAAGUGGACGUAUACGGUGUGACGCCUGCCCGGUGCCGGAAGGUUAAUUGAUGGGGUUAUCCGUAAGGAGAAGCUCUUGAUCGAAGCCCCGGUAAACGGCGGCCGUAACUAUAACGGUCCUAAGGUAGCGAAAUUCCUUGUCGGGUAAGUUCCGACCUGCACGAAUGGCGUAAUGAUGGCCAGGCUGUCUCCACCCGAGACUCAGUGAAAUUGAACUCGCUGUGAAGAUGCAGUGUACCCGCGGCAAGACGGAAAGACCCCGUGAACCUUUACUAUAGCUUGACACUGAACAUUGAGCCUUGAUGUGUAGGAUAGGUGGGAGGCUUUGAAGCGUGGACGCCAGUCUGCGUGGAGCCAACCUUGAAAUACCACCCUUUAAUGUUUGAUGUUCUAACGUUGGCCCCUGACCGGGGUUGCGGACAGUGUCUGGUGGGUAGUUUGACUGGGGCGGUCUCCUCCCAAAGCGUAACGGAGGAGCACGAAGGUUAGCUAAUCCUGGUCGGACAUCAGGAGGUUAGUGCAAUGGCAUAAGCUAGCUUGACUGCGAGCGUGACGGCGCGAGCAGGUGCGAAAGCAGGUCAUAGUGAUCCGGUGGUUCUGAAUGGAAGGGCCAUCGCUCAACGGAUAAAAGGUACUCCGGGGAUAACAGGCUGAUACCGCCCAAGAGUUCAUAUCGACGGCGGUGUUUGGCACCUCGAUGUCGGCUCAUCACAUCCUGGGGCUGAAGUAGGUCCCAAGGGUAUGGCUGUUCGCCAUUUAAAGUGGUACGCGAGCUGGGUUUAGAACGUCGUGAGACAGUUCGGUCCCUAUCUGCCGUGGGCGCUGGAGAAUUGAGGGGGGCUGCUCCUAGUACGAGAGGACCGGAGUGGACGCAUCACUGGUGUUCGGGUUGUCAUGCCAAUGGCACUGCCCGGUAGCUAAAUGCGGAAGAGAUAAGUGCUGAAAGCAUCUAAGCACGAAACUUGCCCCGAGAUGAGUUCUCCCUGAGACUAUAAGUCUCCUGAAGGAACGUUAAAGACGAUGACGUUGAUAGGCCGGGUGUGUAAGCGCAGCGAUGCGUUGAGCUAACCGGUACUAAUGAACCGUGAGGCUUAACCUU